GCACCCGUAGCUCAGCUGGAUAGAGCGUUGCCCUCCGAAGGCAAAGGUCACACGUUCGAAUCGUGUCGGGUGCGCCA
rnacentral:tRNA from 524 species